rnacentral:rRNA from 1 species
UGGGGAAUUUUGGACAAUGGGCGCAAGCCUGAUCCAGCCAUGCCGCGUGUGUGAAGAAGGCCUUCGGGUUGUAAAGCACUUUCGGCCGGAACGAAAUCGCCUCCGUUAAUAGCGGGGGUGGAUGACGGUACCGGAAGAAGAAGCACCGGCUAACUACGUGCCAGCAGCCGCGGUAAUACGUAGGGUGCGAGCGUUAAUCGGAAUUACUGGGCGUAAAGGGUGCGCAGGCGGUUGCGCAAGUCAGGCGUGAAAUCCCCGGGCUUAACCUGGGAAUGGCGCUUGAAACUACGUGACUGGAGUAUGGCAGAGGGAGGUGGAAUUCCACGUGUAGCGGUGAAAUGCGUAGAGAUGUGGAGGAACACCGAUGGCGAAGGCAGCCUCCUGGGCCAAUACUGACGCUCAUGCACGAAAGCGUGGGUAGCGAACAGGAUUAGAUACCCCAGUAGUCCCUGAGCGGGC